rnacentral:rRNA from 1 species
AGCUAACGCGAGAAGUUGACCGCCUGGGGAGUACGGUCGCAAGAUUAAAACUCAAAGGAAUUGACGGGGACCCGCACAAGCGGUGGAUGAUGUGGAUUAAUUCGAUGCAACGCGAAAAACCUUACCUACCCUUGACAUGUCUGGAAUCCCGAAGAGAUUUGGGAGUGCUCGCAAGAGAACCGGAACACAGGUGCUGCAUGGCUGUCGUCAGCUCGUGUCGUGAGAUGUUGGGUUAAGUCCCGCAACGAGCGCAACCCUUGUCAUUAGUUGCUACGAAAGGGCACUCUAAUGAGACUGCCGGUGACAAGCCGGAGGAAGGUGGGGAUGACGUCAAGUCCUCAUGGCCCUUAUGGGUAGGGCUUCACACGUCAUACAAUGGUCGGGACAGAGGGUNGCNAAGCCGCGAGGNGGAGCCAAUCCNAUAAACCCGAUCGUAGUCCGGAUUGNAGUCUGCAANUCGNCUNCAUGAAGUCGGAAUCGCUAGUAAUCGCGGAUCAGCAUGUCGCGGUGAAUACGUUCCCGGGUCUUGUACACACCGCCCGUCACACCAUGGGAGUGGGUUUNACCAGAAGNAGGUAGNCUAACCGCAA